GACGAACGCUGGCGGCGUGCUUAACACAUGCAAGUCGAACGAAGAGCGAUGGAAGCUUGCUUCUAUCAAUCUUAGUGGCGAACGGGUGAGUAACGCGUAAUCAACCUGCCCUUCAGAGGGGGACAACAGUUGGAAACGACUGCUAAUACCGCAUACGAUCUAAUCUCGACAUCGAGGAUAGAUGAAAGGUGGCCUCUACAUGUAAGCUAUCACUGAAGGAGGGGAUUGCGUCUGAUUAGCUAGUUGGAGGGGUAACGGCCCACCAAGGCGAUGAUCAGUAGCCGGUCUGAGAGGAUGAACGGCCACAAUGGGACUGAGACACGGCCCAGACUCCUACGGGAGGCAGCAGUGGGGAAUCUUCCGCAGUGGACGAAAGUCUGACGGAGCAACUCCGCGUGAGUGAUGACGGCCUUCGGGUUGUAAAGCUCUGUUAAUCGGGACGAAAGGCCUUCUUGCGAAUAGUGAGAAGGAUUGACGGUACCGGAAUAGAAAGCCACGGCUAACUACGUG
rnacentral:rRNA from 1 species